rnacentral:rRNA from 1 species
UACGUAGGGGGCAAGCGUUGUCCGGAUUUAUUGGGCGUAAAGAGCGUGUAGGCGGCCAGACAGGUCCGUUGUGAAAACUCGAGGCUCAACCUCGAGACGCCGAUGGAAACCGUCUGGCUAGAGUCCGGAAGAGGAGAGUGGAAUUCCUGGUGUAGCGGUGAAAUGCGCAGAUAUCAGGAAGAACACCCGUGGCUAAGGCGGCUCUCUAGUACGGUACUGACGCUGAGACGCGCAAGCGUGGGGAGCGAACAGG